rnacentral:rRNA from 1 species
GUAGGAUAGAGGCCUACCAUGGUUUUAACGGGUAACGGGGAAUUAGGGUUCGAUUCCGGAGAGGGAGCCUGAGAAACGGCUACCACAUCCAAGGAAGGCAGCAGGCGCGCAAAUUACCCAAUCCCGACACGGGGAGGUAGUGACAAUAAAUAACAAUACGGGGCUCAUUUGGGUCUCGUAAUUGGAAUGAGUACAAUUUAAAUCCCUUAACGAGGAACAAUUGGAGGGCAAGUCUGGUGCCAGCAGCCGCGGUAAUUCCAGCUCCAAUAGCGUAUAUUAAAGUUGUUGCAGUUAAAAAGCUCGUAGUUGAACUUCGGGGUUUACCCAUUGGUCAGGCUUAAUUGUCUGCACUGGUGAGAUAAAUCUCUACCUUCUGAGGAACUUUCAUGUCAUUAAUUUGGUGUGAUUGGAAAUCAGGACUGUUACUUUGAAAAAAUUAGAGUGUUUAAAGCAGGCUAACGUCUGAAUACAUUAGCAUGGAAUAAUGAAAUAGGACGGACUGAUUCUAUUUCGUUGGUUUCUAGGAUCACCGUAAUGAUUAAUAGGGAUAGUUGGGGGCAUUAGUAUUCAAUUGUCAGAGGUGAAAUUCUUGGAUUUAUUGAAGACUAACUACUGCGAAAGCAUUUGCCAAGGAUGUUUUCAUUAAUCAAGAACGAAAGUUAGGGGAUCGAAGACGAUCAGAUACCGUCGUAGUCUUAACCAUAAACUAUGCCGACUAGGGAUCGGACGAAGUUAAUUUU